AUGUUCAAUAUCGAGCGUCUUGUUAUAUUACGAGACUCAAUUGAACAUCCGAGUUAAAAGUUAUUGUCAUUUGAAUUUGCUACGAGCUUUCAAGUUCAAUUUCAAGGGUCUCAGUAUAUUACGGGACUCAAUCGGACAUCCGAGUAAAAAGUUGUUGUCGUUUGAAUUUGCUACGAGCUUCCAUUUUCAACUGUGAGCGUCUCGAUAUAUUAUGGGACUCAAUCAGACAUCUGGGUAAAAAGUUAUUGUCGUUUGAAUUUGCUAGGAGCUUCUUUUUUCAAUUUUGAGUCUCUCGAUAUAUUACGGGACUCAAUCGGGCAUCCGAGUAAAAACUUAUUGUCGUUAGAAUUUGCUUAGAGCUUUUGUUUACAAUUUCGAGCGUUUCGAUAUAUUACGUGACUCAAUUGGACAUCCGAGUUAAAGUUAUUGUCAUUUGAUUUUCCAACGAGCUUUCGUUUUCAAUUUCGAUCCUCUCAAUAUAUUUUGGGACUCAAUUGGACAUCCGAGUAAAAAGUUAUUGUCGUUAGAAUUUGCUCAGAGAUUCUAUUUUCAAAUUCGUGCGUCUCGAUAUUGAUGCAAUCCUACCCCCCCAAGGGUAUUGGAUAGAAGACUCCAAGAGACUUGGGCUAGAGCUACUAAAG
rnacentral:lncRNA from 1 species